CCUACGGGAGGCUGCAGUAGGGAAUCUUCCACAAUGGGCGAAAGCCUGAUGGAGCAACGCCGCGUGGGUGAAGAAGGUCUUCGGAUCGUAAAACUCUGUUGUUAGAGAAGUAAGUGCGUGAGAGUAACUGUUCACGUUUCGACGGUAUCUAUCCAGAAAGCCACGGCUAACUACGUGCCAGCAGCUGCGGUAAUACGUAGGUGGCAAGCGUUAUCCGGAUUUAUUGGGCGUAAAGGGAGCGCAGGCGGUCUUUUAAGUCUGAUGUGAAAGCCUUCGGCUUAACCGGAGUAGUGCAUUGGAAACUGGGAGACUUGAGUGCAGAAGAGGAGAGUGGAACUCCAUGUGUAGCGGUGAAAUGCGUAGAUAUAUGGAAGAACACCAGUGGCGAAAGCGGCUCUCUGGUCUGUAACUGACGCUGAGGUUCGAAGGCGUGGGUAGCAAACAGGAUUAGAUACCCGAGUAGUC
rnacentral:rRNA from 1 species